AAAAUAAAAGAAUAUACAUCAACGUUUCGGCUCACAUCAAAUAUUUGCCAUGCUAAGGAAGGCUCCUGAUGUGAGCCGAAACGUUGAUGUAUAUUCUUUUAUUU